rnacentral:rRNA from 1 species
UACGUAGGGGGCGAGCGUUGUCCGGAAUUAUUGGGCGUAAAGAGCUCGUAGGCGGUCUGUCGCGUCGAUCGUGAAAACUUGGGGCUUAACCCUGAGCUUGCGGUCGAUACGGGCAUGACUGGAGUUCGGCAGGGGAGACUGGAAUUCCUGGUGUAGCGGUGAAAUGCGUAGAUAUGCGGAGGAACACCGAUGGCGAAGGCAAUCCCCUGGGCCUGCACUGACGCUCAUGCACGAAAGCGUGGGGAGCAAACAGG